rnacentral:lncRNA from 1 species
GAGUUUUGUGCACAUCUUUGGUUAGGUUACGUGUACAUUGUCUAAAGAAGACGCGUGUGUUUGUGCUGUCAUUUUCUUCCCCUUUGUAACCUACAUAACCGCCCAAAUCGACACAGAGGCUCUCCAGUCAUCGCUCACCACCACCGGUUUGCCCCAAAUCGACGUUGGCGACCUAACACUACAACACCACAAGGCAAGAGAUGGUUUUUGUCAGGUAAAUUAGGGCUCCAACAGGUAUGUUUAGCUUAAUCGUAGUGUUCAUUCGUUGGAAUUGUUGUUGCUUUCGUGAUGGUGGGUAUGCUUACAGUAAGAAGAUGGAGGCGGCGCGAGGAACCCGUUUAACACCGUUACACCGGCAAGAAUUUUGUGUUGGCUAACUUUAAGUUCCUUUAAAAGGUUGGGGGUGGAUAGGCAGGUGUUGCUUUCAUGAUAUAGAUGUUGCUCCCGAUGGUCAAAGAUUGAAGUUUGGCAUCUACUGGAUCCACAAAGAGUUGCAUGAUAUGAAAUCUCUAUACAAGUGACACCACGCUGCUCAUCAUAUCUACAAUACCCUUUCCCCUUUUGCUGGAUUGGCAUUCCACUUUAUAAACGGGAUACUACCACAUGUAAUUGCUCUGUUUCUUGUCCCAACACAUUUCGGGAUUGCAUUCAUGGAAGUUGUAACCAGUAAUGGUGCAGGGUGUUGGAAGACGAGGCCAAGAAUACACAAUAAUAAACUGAUUUUGGAAUUUAAAAAAACAUUCAGUGAUGGGUGUUAAGAAUGAAGUUACUCGCGAACUCCAUCUCAACCUCGACGUCAUGGACCACAGUCAUAGUUAUAAGGGUCACAACUACAGGUGGUAUUUAGCGUGUACUAACCCAGCAGUGAUAUGUCUCUCCUGAACCAGAACAAGAUGACAAUGAGACACUAACUUAAAGUAUAAGAAGGCUACAACGUUCGUGUUUAUCAUAUUUAAUGAGGUUAUGUAUUGUAUUGAUUCGUGUUUCUUCCUUAAUCGCCCGCGCCACAACGCGGGCGGAUCUAUCUUCUAGUUAUUUUACCAUUACGUUGGUUUUGGUGGGUCAAUGAUGGCAUAAAGCCCAUCAUAUUUGAUUAAAUGAAAAGAGGCCAUAUGAAGCAAAUGAAUUUUUUUCGAUCAGUACGUAAACACAGUAAGAACAACGGUUACGACUUGAAUGUGCCAUGAUUAUCCUAUAUCACAUAUUCUUCAAAUCCGAUUUUCGUCGAGAGAAAUCUCUGUCUAAUCCGAUAAAUCAUUGCGUGUAACCCGCAAAUAGGU